rnacentral:rRNA from 1 species
AGCGGUAGAGAGAAGCUUGCUUCUCUUGAGAGCGGCGGACGGGUGAGUAAUACCUAGGAAUCUGCCUGAUAGUGGGGGAUAACGUUCGGAAACGGACGCUAAUACCGCAUACGUCCUACGGGAGAAAGCAGGGGACCUUCGGGCCUUGCGCUAUCAGAUGAGCCUAGGUCGGAUUAGCUAGUUGGUGAGGUAAUGGCUCACCAAGGCUACGAUCCGUAACUGGUCUGAGAGGAUGAUCAGUCACACUGGAACUGAGACACGGUCCAGACUCCUACGGGAGGCAGCAGUGGGGAAUAUUGGACAAUGGGCGAAAGCCUGAUCCAGCCAUGCCGCGUGUGUGAAGAAGGUCUUCGGAUUGUAAAGCACUUUAAGUUGGGAGGAAGGGCAUUAACCUAAUACGUUAGUGUUUU